AUGGUUACCAAAUCAGAAUUUUGCAGCGACAAAGAGGAGGAGAUACUGCAAUUGGGAAGGGUGGCUGCACGGUCAUGGUCGCGUAAAGCUUGCAGAGUUGUUGUUGUUCGGUCGUGUCGGGGCUGCUUGCAGUUUGAAGAGACAGGUCAUUUGGAUCUCGGUCGUGGGUCGCGGCAGAGGUUGGAUUACGAAGCGUUGGGUUCGUGGGUUGAUGGAUUCGAUAGGGUAGGUGUUGUUUAG